rnacentral:tRNA from 2 species
AGCUCAGCUGGGAGAGCGCCUGCCUUGCACGCAGGAGGUCAGCGGUUCGAUCCCGCUAGGCUCCA